rnacentral:rRNA from 1 species
GUGGGGAAUCUUGCGCAAUGGGCGAAAGCCUGACGCAGCCAUGCCGCGUGAAUGAUGAAGGUCUUAGGAUUGUAAAAUUCUUUCACCGGGGACGAUAAUGACGGUACCCGGAGAAUAAGCCCCGGCUAACUUCGUGCCAGCAGCCGCGGUAAUACGAAGGGGGCGAGCGUUAUUCGGAAUCACUGGGCGUAAAGCGUGCGUAGGCUGUUUUGUAAGUCAGAAGUGAAAGCCCAGGGCUUAACCCUGGAAUUGCUUUUGAAACUACAAGACUCGAAUUCGGGAGAGGAUAGCGGAAUUGUCAGUGUAGCAGUGAAAUGCGUAGAUAUUGACAGGAACACCAGUGGCGCAAGCGGCUAUCUGGACCGAUAUUGACGCUGAGGCACGAAAGCGUGGGGAGCAAACAGGAUUAGAAACCCGGGUAGUCC